rnacentral:rRNA from 1 species
AAUCAACGCUGGCGGCGUGCCUCAGACAUGCAAGUCGAACGAGAAAGUUCCCUUCGGGGAAUGAGUAAAGUGGCGCACGGGUGAGUAACACGUAGGUAAUCUACCUUCGGGUGGGGAAUAACCCAGGGAAACGUUGGGCUAACACCGCAUAAUGCAGCGGCACCACAUGGUGACAGUUGUUAAAGCGGGGGAGUUUAGGUACCUCGCGCCUGAAGAGGAGCCUGCGGCGGAUUAGCAGUUGGUAGGGUAACGGCUUACCAAGGCGACGAUCCGUAACCGGCCUGAGAGGGGCGGGUCGGUCACACUGACACUGACAUACGGGUCAGACUCCUACGGGGAGGCAGCAGUCGGGGAAUUUUGGGCAAUGGGCGAAAGCCUGACCCAGCAACGCCGCGUGAAGGAUGAAA